rnacentral:rRNA from 1 species
AAAGAAACCAACCGGGAUUGCCCCAGUAACGGCGAGUGAAGCGGCAAGAGCUCAAAUUUGAAAUCUGGCCCCUCCGGGGUCCGAGUUGUAAUUUGCAGAGGAUGCUUCGGGUGCGGCCCCUGUCUAAGUGCCCUGGAACGGGCCGUCAGAGAGGGUGAGAAUCCCGUCUUGGGCAGGGUGCCCGUGCCCGUGUGAAGCUCCUUCGACGAGUCGAGUUGUUUGGGAAUGCAGCUCUAAAUGGGUGGUAAAUUUCAUCUAAAGCUAAAUACCGGCCGGAGACCGAUAGCGCACAAGUAGAGUGAUCGAAAGAUGAAAAGCACUUUGAAAAGAGAGUUAAACAGCACGUGAAAUUGUUGAAAGGGAAGCGCUUGCGACCAGACUCGGCCUCGGGGUUCAGCCAGCAUUCGUGCUGGUGUACUUCCCCGGGGCCGGGCCAGCGUCGGUUCGGGCGGCCGGUCAAAGGCCCCAGGAAUGUAUCGUCCUCCGGGACGUCUUAUAGCCUGGGGUGCAAUGCGGCCAGCCUGGACCGAGGAACGCGCUUCGGCACGGACGCUGGCGUAAUGGUCACAAACGACCCGUCUUGAAACACGGACCAAGGAGUCUAACAUCUACGCGAGUGUUCGGGUGUCAAACCCGUACGCGCAGUGAAAGCGAACGGAGGUGGGAGCCCCUUUGGGGCGCACCAUCGACCGAUCCUGAAGUCUUCGGAUGGAUUUGAGUACGAGCGUAGCUGUGGGGACCCGAAAGAUGGUGAACUAUGCCUGAAUAGGGUGAAGCCAGAGGAAACUCUGGUGGAGGCUCGCAGCGGUUCUGACGUGCAAAUCGAUCGUCAAAUUUGGGUAUAGGGGCGAAAGA